CCUACGGGUGGCAGCAGUGAGGAAUAUUGGUCAAUGGACGAGAGUCUGAACCAGCCAAGUAGCGUGAAGGAUGACUGCCCUAUGGGUUGUAAACUUCUUUUAUAUGGGAAUAAAAUGUGCCACGUGUGGGAUUUUGUAUGUACCAUAUGAAUAAGGAUCGGCUAACUCCGUGCCAGCAGCCGCGGUAAUACGGAGGAUCCGAGCGUUAUCCGGUUUUAUUGGGUUUAAAGGGAGCGUAGGUGGAUGGUUAAGUCAGUUGUGAAAGUUUGCGGCUCAACCGUAAAAUUGCAGUUGAAACUGGCAGUCUUGAGUACAGUAGAGGUAGGCGGAAUGCGUGGUGUAGCGGUGAAAUGCUUAGAUAUCACGAAGAACUCCGAUUGCGAAGGCAGUUCACUGGACUGCAACUGACACUGAGGCUCGAAAGUGUGGGUAUCAAACAGGAUUAGAUACCCCAGUAGUC
rnacentral:rRNA from 1 species